UACGAAGGGGGCUAGCGUUGUUCGGAAUUACUGGGCGUAAAGCGCACGUAGGCGGACAUUUAAGUCAGGGGUGAAAUCCCGGGGCUCAACCCCGGAACUGCCUUUGAUACUGGGUGUCUUGAGUCCGGAAGAGGUGAGUGGAAUUGCGAGUGUAGAGGUGAAAUUCGUAGAUAUUCGCAGGAACACCAGUGGCGAAGGCGGCUCACUGGUCCGGUACUGACGCUGAGGUGCGAAAGCGUGGGGAGCAAACAGG
rnacentral:rRNA from 1 species